CGGCAACAGCUCAAAUUUGAAAUCUGGCCCCUUUUGGGGGUCCGAGUUGUAAUUUGUAGAGGAUGUUUCGGGCACCGCUCCGGUCUAAAUUUCUUGGAACAGAAUGUCACAGAGGGUGAGAACCCCGUCUUGGACCGGCAGUAGGGCCCAUGUGAAACUCCUUCGAC
rnacentral:rRNA from 1 species